UGAACGCGGCACUCAGCGCCAUGGUGUGGUUGACAUGGUGGUGCUUGGUCAUGGGCUGGACUCUAUGAUCUCAGAGAUAUUUUCCAACCUAAUCGAUUCUGUCAUUCUGUAAAGCCAUUCCUUUGCCUCACCUGGUCAAAGGCUUUUUCUCAAAAUCCCUUCUCACAAAGGUGCAGUUUUUCCAGUUUGACAGGAGAUUUUAAAAGACACCUAUAAGGCUCAACCCUAUGCACACAAAAUUCCUUAUAAGUCCCACUGCCAGGCCAAGUUGGAGUCCCAGUAUCCCAGCCCUGCACAAGCAGGACUGCACCAAACUGAACAGCUGCUGCUCACAUUCUCCGUCUGAUGCUGUAUGGAAUGCUGUGUGACAGUGUCCAGGAAGGAGAAGGUGGAGGAAGGAGAUCCUUAAGGACUAAAGAGCUGUAUCAUGGUGACCUGUUUCUGUUUGCCUGCUUCUACCUAAUGAGUUCUUUGUGAGCAUGAGAUAAUGAAGAGUUCAUCAAAAAACAACCCCAAGUAAACCACCUUUUAUUCAGUUCCAAUAUGUGCUUGGAAAUAAAUGGCAGAAUGGGAUGUCUUGCUGCACAGUCCCUGUUUUUAGCAGAGGCUUUUGCAGCAUGUUGCUGCUGAUGGAUUUGUGCACUCAUCACCGUUAAAGCUUGAGGCU